UACGAAGGGGGCAAGCGUUGUCCGGAAUUAUUGGGCGUAAAGCGCGCGCAGGCGGUCCUUUAAGUCUGAUGUGAAAUCCCGUGGCUUAACCACGGGCGGUCAUUGGAAACUGGGGGACUUGAGUGCAGAAGAGAAGAGCGGAAUUCCACGUGUAGCGGUGAAAUGCGUAGAGAUGUGGAGGAACACCAGUGGCGAAGGCGGCUCUUUGGUCUGUAACUGACGCUGAGGCGCGAAAGCGUGGGGAGCGAACAGG
rnacentral:rRNA from 1 species